rnacentral:rRNA from 1 species
GUCUAUGGCCAUACCAACCUGAAUGUACCCGAUCUCAUCUGAUCUCAGAAGCUAAGCAGGGUCAGGGCUGGUUAGUACUUGGAUAGCAGUGAUAGGUU